rnacentral:tRNA from 1 species
UUAGGGAUAGUUUAAAAUUAGAAUAGUGGUUUUGGGGAUCAUUGGUGUGCAGGUGUACUCUCUAAA